GACGAACGCUGGCGGCGUGCCUAAUACAUGCAAGUCGAACGCAGUGGGGACGGGUGAGUAACACGUGGGUAACCUCCCAUCAGAGGGGAUAACACUUGGACACAGGUGCUAAUCCGAUACUGAUGGAUGGACCCGCGGUGCAUUAGCUAGUUGGUGAGGUAACGGCUCACCUAGGCCACGAUGCAUAGCCGACCUGAGAGGGUGAUCGGCCACACUGGGACUGAGACACGGCCCAGACUCCUACGGGAGGCAGCAGUAGGGAAUAUUCGGCAAUGGGCGAAAGUCUGACGUAGCAACGCCGCGUGAAUGAAGAAGGUUUUCGGGUCGUAAAGCACUUUUAUUAGGGAGGCGGUAUCGAAAGAAAAAGCCCCGGCUAACUACGUGCCAGCAGCCGCGGUAAUAC
rnacentral:rRNA from 1 species